AAUAGUUUUAUGCUGCAUCAAUAUUCUUAUUCUGAAUUUCAGGAUUUUAUCCUGAAAAAAAUCAAAUUCAAAUUAAAAUACUGAAAUUCAGGAUAAGAAUAUUGAUGUGGCAUAAAACUAUU
rnacentral:pre_miRNA from 1 species